GGCACGGUGGAACAGUGGCCAGCACUGUUGCCUCGCAGCAAGGUAGCGGGUUCGAAUCCAGCCUGGGGCC